CCUACGGGUGGCAGCAGUAGGGAAUUUUCGGCAAUGGGCGGAAGCCUGACCGAGCGACGCCGCGUGAACGAAGAAGUUAUUCGUAAUGUAAAGUUCUUUUAACAGGGAAGAAAGAGCACUUUGACGGUACCUGAAGAAUUAGCUCCGGCUAACUACGUACCAGCAGCCACGUUACUCCGUAGGGAGCGAGCGUUAUCCGGAAUUAUUGGGCGUAAAGGGUUCUUAGAUGGCAUAGUACGUCUUUUGUAAAAAUGCUGGGCUAAACCCAGUAGGGCAAAAGAUACUGCAAAGCUAGAGUAUGACAGAGGCAAGUGGAACUACAUGUGUAGCGGUAAAAUGCGUAAAUAUAUGUAAGAACACCAGUGGCGAAGGCGGCUUGCUGGGUCGAUACUGACAUUGAGGCACGAAAGCGUGGGGAGCAAACAGGAUUAGAUACCCGAGUAGUC
rnacentral:rRNA from 1 species